rnacentral:rRNA from 1 species
ACAUCCAGCGAACUUGGCAGAGAUGCCUUGGUGCCUUCGGGAACGCUGAGACAGGUGCUGCAUGGCUGUCGUCAGCUCGUGUUGUGAAAUGUUGGGUUAAGUCCCGNAACGAGCGCAACCCUUAUCCUUUGUUGCCAGCGAUUCGGUCGGGAACUCAAAGGAGACUGCCGGUGAUAAACCGGAGGAAGGUGGGGAUGACGUCAGGUCAUCAUGGCCCUUACGAGUAGGGCUACACACGUGCUACAAUGGCGCAUACAAAGAGAAGCGACCUCGCGAGAGCAAGCGGACCUCAUAAAGUGCGUCGUAGUCCGGAUCGGAGUCUGCAACUCGACUCCGUGAAGUCGGAAUCGCUAGUAAUCGUGGAUCAGAAUGCCACGGUGAAUACGUUCCCGGGCCUUGUACACACCGCCCGUCACACCAUGGGAGUGGGUUGCAAAAGAAGUAGGUAGCUUAACCUUCGGGAGGGCGCUUACCACUUUGUGAUUCAUGACUGGGGUGAAGUCGUAACAAGGUAGGCGUAGCGAG